UGAGGAAUAUUGGGCAAUGCCCGCAAGGGUGACCCAGCAACGCCGCGUGGAGGAUGAAUGUCGUAAGAUUGUAAACUCCUGUUAGAGGGGAAGAAUAGUACCGGUUGGACCGGUAUAUGACUGUACCCUCAGAGAAAGCCCCGGCUAACUACGUGCCAGCAGCCGCGGUAAUACGUAGGGGGCAAGCGUUGUCCGGAUUUACUGGGUGUAAAGGGCGCGCAGGCGGGAUAAAAAGUCAGUGGUGAAAUCCUACAGCUUAACUGUAGAACUGCCUUUGAUACUGUUGGUCUCGAGUCCGGAAGAGGUGAGUGGAAUUCCUAGUGUAGAGGUGAAAUUCGUAGAUAUUAGGAAGAACACCGGUGGCGAAGGCGGCUCACUGGUCCGGUACUGACGCUGAGGUGCGAAAGCGUGGGGAGCAAACA
rnacentral:rRNA from 1 species